rnacentral:lncRNA from 1 species
AUAGAAGUAGUUUCAUCAUUUUAUCAACUUUCCACUAUUUAUCAAGCAAUUAAUAAGAUUAACAUAGCAAGUAAGCAUUUAAAACUAAAACAGUAUGAACAUCAUGGAUUCUACUAACAUAAGUUCUGGAUCUAAAACAUGCAUGCUAAAAGGAGGCUAACAAAAGUGGUUUCACAAUUUUUAGAGCACUAAGUGAUUUAUAAAGCAUUUAAAGGCUUUCACACCAAAUAAAUCAUAGCACAAAAUAUAAAAAGCAACAUGCAUAAAACCCAUUUUUGAAAUAAACUAGACUUGACAAGGAAUCCAACAAAAUAAGAAUCAUAUUUUUAGCAUUUUUAUACUAGUUUCUAUGCAUUUUCAAAGUUUGCAACAUUUUAAAUCUAGCAAACAAAACAAAACCGACACAACUUCGCAAUCUACCCCCUAGAAAAACAGUUUGUCUCACAGAUCUACCCUUCUCCUUUCAAUCUACCCCCUGCGGUUUACUAGCUAGCCCCUGGAAAACUUCCCACCCUCAAACAUAAAACCAACCCUUUACCCCAUAACCCCAGGCUUUCUUUUCCACUCGGAAACAAGUCCUUCUUCUACCUUGGACAGAACACACAUGCACGGCACAUCAC